CAAUAGCGUAUAUUAAAGCUGUUGCGGUUAAAAAGCUCGUAGUUGGAUUUCUGUCAAGGACAACUGGUCCGCCCUCCGGGUGGGCACAUAGUUUGGUCUUGACAUCUUGCUGGAAGCUGUUGCUGCACUUGGCUGUGUGGCGCAGUGUUCAGCACUUUCACUUUGAGGAAAUUGGAGUGUUUCAAGCAGGCACAUGCCUUUGGACACAGUAGCAUGGAAUAAUUAGAUUGGGCUUUUGCUCCAAUUUGUCGGUUUCUGGAGCUGAGGUGAGUAUUAAUGGGGAUUGUUGGGGGCAUCCGAAUUUAGCCGUCAGAGGUGAAAUUCUUGGAUCUGCUAAAGACGGACAACUGCGAAAGCGUUUGCCCAGGAUGUUUUCAUUGA
rnacentral:rRNA from 1 species